GAAUUCGAUUAACGCGAAGAACCUUACCAGCUCUUGACAUGCCCGGUAUGGGGCCGAGAGAUCGGCUCCUUCAGUUCGGCUGGCCGGUGCACAGGUGCUGCAUGGCUGUCGUCAGCUCGUGUCGUGAGAUGUCGGGUUAAGUCCCGCAACGAGCGCAACCCUCACCUUCAGUUGCCAUCAGGUUAAGCUGGGCACUCUGAAGGAACUGCCGGUGACAAGCCGGAGGAAGGCGGGGAUGACGUCAAGUCCUCAUGGCCUUUAUGGGCUGGGCUACACACGUGCUACAAUGGCGGUGACAGUGGGAUGCGAAGGCGCAAGCCUUGGCCAAUCUCAAAAAGCCGUCUCAGUUCGGAUUGUCCUCUGCAACUCGAGGGCAUGAAGCUGGAAUCGCUAGUAAUCGCGGAUCAGCACGCCGCGGUGAAUACGUUCCCGGGCCUUGUCACACCGAAUCACUA
rnacentral:rRNA from 1 species